rnacentral:lncRNA from 1 species
GGGGGAGGGGGCAGGGCUUGUAAACUGGGGAAGUGGGUGGGGUGGUGGGAGGCAAGAAAUAUUGCCAGGCCAGCAGGAACACUGACCCUCUUGGUUACUCAUCCUGUACCAAGCAACCAAGCAGCAUGGACGCAGAAGAAUUCUGAAAUGAUUUUAGAUAUUUCACAGUAUUGAGCAAAUCAGUAAAUACAUCGAUGUUGUUGUGAGCCAGGGUUCUCACUGUGGAGAAAAAAAGUUGUAAAUAUAGAAAGAGAGAAGACAUGGAUGUAAGAAGAAUGGAUUGCAAUUGGAGGUAUUGCUGUGGACUCAUAACUUCUGAAAUGUGUAUGUAUGCAUGAAUAUGUAUUAAUGGGAUCUAUCUCUUUCUUUCUCUCCCUCACUCCCUCCCUCCCCCGCUUAUUCUAAGGUACAGGCUGCCAUGCUAUGAAGAAAUCUUGGUAGCAGUGGCCACACCUAACAGCCACACCUUGCUUUUGAAUGGAAUAUUCUAACUAGGCAGAGCAAGGGAUCCUUAGAAUGUUUCCAGGGCAGAGGCCUUAGUUUUGCAGAGAAAAUAUGCAAGAUAAGCCUGGAAUUUCUUUUUAAAAUUGAGGUGAAAUUCACAUAAUAAAACCAGUUAUGUUAAAGUGUAUAAUCCUGUGGCAUUUAGUACAUUCCCAAGGUGUGUAAGCACCUCUUCUAUUUAGUGAGAGCCUGAAAUGUCUUGUUAUUCCAGGAUGUAAGGAAGUGCACAAAACAUACCAGGGCCAUGUCAUGAGGACAGAGGAACCAGACUGGAGAGGCUUUCCCUGCCCAUGUCUGGUACAGCUUGAACAUCAAAAUAAUUAUUGGUAGUAACAAAUUAUAAACCAUUGGAAAAAAAAGUAUAUAGAAUCUAUUCUAUAUAUUAAAAAGCAUAGAAAUAAAUAAAUGUAUGAAAAGGAUGGCUCUUUUUACAGUAGAAUACUGUUAUAAACAGAAUCGUGUCCUCCUAAAAUUCAUAUGUUAAAGCUGUAACCCCUAAUGUGACUAUAUUUGGAGACAGAGCCUUUAAGGAGGAAAGUAAGGGUUAAAUGGAGUCAUUAGGGUAGGGCCCAAACCCACUAAAAAUAGUAACCUCAAAGGAAGAAGACUCACCUGGGGCAUAUACAGAGAAAGACCAGUGAGGACACAGCAAAAAAGCCGUCAUCCACAAAACUGAAGAGAGAGGUUUAAGAAAAACCUACCCUGCUGGCAUCUUGAUCUUGGAUGUCCAGCCUCUGAACUGAGAGAAAUAAAUGUCUGAUGCUGAAACCAUCCAGUAUGUGGUAUUUUGUUGUGCGAGCCUGAGCAGGCUAAUACAAAUACCUAGUGUCAACUGGUAGAUUUGUCAAGAGAGCUGAAGUUGGGGGAAAAAUUAUUAUUUAACCACCAUUGUGUACUUAAGACUGUUUCUGGCAAGAGUCACUGAUGUUAAAUUUAGAUAAAUUUUUGG